rnacentral:rRNA from 1 species
UACGUAGGGGGCAAGCGUUGUCCGGAGUUACUGGGCGUAAAGCGCACGCAGGCGGUCUUUUAAGUUUGGAGUGACAGUUGGUGGCUUAACUGCCAAAGUGCUUCGAAAACUGACAGACUUGAGGGCUUCAGAGGGACACGGAAUUCCGGGUGGAGUGGUGAAAUGCGUAGAGAUCGGAAAGAACACCAACGGCGAAAGCACUCUGCUGGGCCGACACUGACACUGAGAGACGAAAGCUAGGGGAGCGAAUGGG